rnacentral:lncRNA from 1 species
ACUAUAAACUUGUUAAAAUUUAGUUACUUUGACCAGCAUGCUUCUCAUAAUUGCAUUUUUUAUUGACAGAGGUAGUAUAAGUAAUUAUAUAAAAAAUUGUAUGUUAACAGUAAUUUUUUAAUGAAAUAGCAGGAGUUUUGUAUUUGAAUUAAACAGUAAAGGAUAAUUUAUGUACAGGAUUAAGGCUUGGCUACCGAACACUGGAGAUCCCCCCACUACGCUGCCUAGGGAGUAGGGGCAACCACAAAGAGAACCUCAAAUGAAAGAAAGAAAAAAAAAAGGCAGAUUCUACCAUGCAAACUAAGCUCUCUUUUGUAUGUACUACCUUGUCCAAAAAUAACUAUUGUUUGUGUUUCCUAAGAAACAACUUUGAUAAAAUAUAUAUUAAAAAAUAUUAAUAUUUAUGGCAUAUAAUUGGUAUCAUUAGAAAGAUCUUUGAAUCUUUUUUUUUGAGAUACAAAUAUUACACGUACCUUUUAUAAAUUGAGUCAAAUUUAUGGCCGAAGAUAAAGUAUGGGUC